UUCGACUGCUCGAGAUGUGAUCGGCGGCGAGCUUGUGAGGAAAUUUUUGGGCUUUCUCAGUCGUCACUUCUCUCGAAUUGGAGUUCAAACACUUUCUUCAACCCUUAUCCCAUUCGAACACAACCCCACCAAUCUUUCUUUGGUAAGUCUUCCAAUUCUCUGAUUUCCCACUUCGAUUAUAAGCAUCUUAUGGCAUAGAAAUGGCGAGAAAUUUCAAAAGAUUAGAUAGAAAGAAUUUGAUUCUUAAAUAUCAGGUUGGUAAAGCAUUGAAUUUUAGAUAUGGGCUGAACUUGCAAUUUGAAGCAGCUGAAAACCCCCAAAUUAUUAUUAUUUUUUUCAAUAGUAAAGAAACUAAUUCACCCAGCGUUAGAAAUGUAAGGAAAAAAGUAUGUUUCUUUGUGAUUAAGUUUUUGAUAUUUAGUAAAUACAUAAUCGUAUAUGUCAAUGUGGGUAUUAAAAUUUGUUUGAUUAUGAGAUUUUGCAUGGUUGAAUUGUAAAAUAUAUUUGGACUUGUGGGAAGUUAGUAAUUGAGUUUUUGAUCUGUCAAUAUAGUUUGGAGGGAGUUUCUGAGGUGAACCAUUCCUAAGGAAUUUGGGGAAGGAAUGAUGAAGACAUGUAUUCAGAGCCAUCUAUUCUUUGUGCAAGUCAGGUGUGAUCACAUAGAGUAAAGAUGUAACAUUCAUGGCUAAUGGUAAAGCUCAAUUUUUUGGCAUGUAAUCAUAUGAAUACCAUUUAACCCUUUCUUUUGGCAUUUACAUGAAUUACUUCGUAACACUGGGAAAAUAGGAUUGCAACACCUAAUAUCCAAAAUUGAUUCGAAUAGGAUUGCAACUUCUUAACAUUCAUUUUCCCACACUAGUUUAUUGUUUUGUUUUGUUUUGGCCCAACAUUGAAAUAUCAAACAUGCUCUCUUUUGGUCGUUGGUGAAUCAUAAGGCAGUUAGGCUUUUGGCCUCAAUAUGAUUUAGUUUCAUUAUUAUGUUGCUAUUUCCUUAAUAAUCUCUAGUUCUUAUUUCUAGUAGAAUGGUUUUGUCUCAAACUUUUCGUCUGCACUCUUGUAGGUUAUGUUCUAUGAAGGCUUGACAUAUUUGACAGAGUAUGGGAAGCAAAAAUACGUACACAAUCCAAAUUUCCAUGUUGAUAGUUCUGUUCCGGGACUAUACUAGGAGGAUUGGGUGGUGGUAUGUACCUUGCUUAUACUAUGUAAGUCUUUAAAAUCGAAUUCAGAAUUUUCUGUAGGGUGAUUUAUACUUGCUUUGUAUUCUUCAGGCUUUAUGACAUAUCUUGCAACUCCCUUGGAUGUGAUCAAAACAAGAUUGCAAAUACUGGGGUCAAAGGUAUCAGCUCUGUUUUGUGGUUAUUCUUAAUAUUAUUUUCAAAUGACUUUCAGUUGUCAGUGUAGACCUAAAUUUGUUGCAAGCAUCACAUGCAGCAUAAUGUUCUAUUAGUGUACUUAAUGUUACCUGAACAAAGCUUGGCUUAUUGAGUCAGCUGUUGUGCUCAUGAACACUGACCUCAUGGGUGCACAGACAGAAACUCCUUUACAAAUUUAUAGUAGUUUUUCAUUGAAUCCUUUCCCAACAUUUUCGUUAAUUGUCAUCGCCGCAUAACAAAGUUAAAUCUUGGGGACAAAAUCGAUGGGCUAUGGUUAGAAAUAUACUUUGGUAAAGUUUGCGUUAACUGUUAUUUGAAACUGAGGUUUCAACGUGUUUGCCAUGAUGGGGAAGGGAAAUUUUGUAGAGCAAUUUUCCUUUCGACCUGGAAUAUUUGAUAGGUGUGACAUUGAUGUCGAAAAUUUGUCUAUGGUUUAUCAUAAAAAAAAGUUGUCUAUGGUCGAAAAUUUAAACUUUGGUUCUAUCACUUAUUGAGUUUGACGUGAUAGUCAAUCAGUUUUUUUAUUUUCCAUCUAAUGUUGUGAACUUUAGGUGCAAUGGCUGCUUGGAUGCAGUUUGUAGCAUAUAAAUGGUUGAAGAUGCACAGGGGAUGUUUAGAGGUAGCAGUCUCAGGAUCACCCAAUGUUACAAGCAAUGAAGGAUUAGGCAAUGUUGCAAGCAAGAAGUUGCUAGCAUGUAGUAGAGGAAUAGGGAUCACAUUUACAAAGGAGCGGUGUGAGAAACUUGCACUGAAUACUUUUAUUUUCCCAUCUCAUCUUAGUUUGAUUAAGAAAUUGGGUCUUUUUCAUGUAUCCCAGUAAUAAUUUGGACGUACACAUUUAAUAUUGUUUUCAUGUAAGUUGUAC
rnacentral:lncRNA from 1 species